UUGGAGGGCAAGUCUGGUGCCAGCAGCCGCGGUAAUUCCAGCUCCAAUAGCGUAUAUUAAAGUUGUUGCAGUUAAAAAGCUCGUAGUUGAAUUUCGGGAUCAAUAUAUUGGUCGUGCCUCCGGUAUGCACUGGUAUUAUUGAUUUCUACCUUCUGACGAACUGUGAUGUCAUUAAUUUGGUGUCAUGGGGAAUCAGGACUGUUACUUUGAAAAAAUUAGAGUGUUUAAAGCAGGCACACGCUUGAAUACAUUAGCAUGGAAUAAUGAAAUAGGACGUUUGACCCUAUUUUGUUGGUUUCUAGGAUCGACGUAAUGAUUAAUAGGGAUAGUUGGGGGCAUUAGUAUUCAAUUGUCAGAGGUGAAAUUCUUGGAUUUAUUGAAGACUAACUACUGCGAAAGCAUUUGCCAAGGAUGUUUUCAUUAAUCAAGAACGAAAGUCAGGGGAUCGAAGACGAUCAGAUACCGUCGUAGCCUUAACCAUAAACUAUGCCGACUAGGGAUCGGAUGAUGUUAAUUUUAUAAUGACUCAUUCGGCGCCUUACGGGAAAC
rnacentral:rRNA from 1 species